rnacentral:rRNA from 1 species
UGGGGAAUUUUGCACAAUGGAGGAAACUCUGAUGCAGCGACGCCGCGUGAGUGAUGAAGAUCUUCGGAUUGUAAAACUCUGUCCUUAGUGAAGAUAAUGACAGUAACUAAGAAGCAAGCUCUGGCUAAAUACGUGCCAGCAGCCGCGGUAAUACGUAUGGGGCAAGCGUUGUCCGGAAUUAUUGGGCGUAAAGUGUACGUAGGCGGUUUAAUAAGUCCUAAUUAAAAGGCUAUGGCUCAACCAUAGUAUGGUUAGGAAACUGUUGAACUUGAGUAGAUGAGGGGAAAGUGGAAUUCCAUGUGGAGCGGUGAAAUGCGUAGAUAUAUGGAGGAACACCAAUGGGGGAGGCAACUUUCUGGAAUCAAACUGACGCUUAGGUACGAAGGGGUGGGGAGCAAACAGG